AUAGCUUUACUCAGCCUUUUUGGCUGAGAUCAAGUGUAGUACCUGUUCUUAUCAGUUUUAAGACUACUACCAAGUGAAGGAAUAGCCUAAUGGAAGAAACCCUAC
rnacentral:snRNA from 1 species